UCGUCCUGGCCUGUGGUUUUUCUGCUCCCCUGUGCUCAGUUCUCAGGGGGCACUCCGGCAGGACGCACAGCAAGCUCCCUCUCAGUUUAGGAGGGCCGUCCUGAGAAUAGGGCUGGCUCUUAAAGGCACGAGAGGACAGU
rnacentral:snoRNA from 1 species